rnacentral:rRNA from 1 species
AUUGAACGCUGGCGGCCGGCCUAACACAUGCAAGUCGAGCGAGCGGCGGACGGGUGAGUAAUGUCUGGGAAACUGCCUGAUGGAGGGGGAUAACUACUGGAAACGGUAGCUAAUACCGCAUACCAUCAGAUGUGCCCAGAUGUGCUUAUCUAUUAGGUGGGGUAACGGCUCACCUAGGCGACGAUCCCUAGCUGGUCUGAGAGGAUGACCAGCAACACUGGAACUGAGACACGGUCCAGAAUCCUACGGGAGGCAGCAGUGGGGAAUAUGGCACAAUGGGCGCAAGCCUGAUGCAGCCAUGCCGCGUGUGUGAAGAAGGCCUGCGGGUUGUAAAGCACUUUCAGCGGGGAGGCGUGAACAGAAGAAGAAGCACCGGCUAACUCCGUGCCAGCAGCCGCGGUAAUAA